rnacentral:tRNA from 1 species
GCGGAGAUAGCUCAGGUAGUCAGAGCGCAGACUUUCCAAGUUUGAGGUCGUAGGUGCAAGUCCUUCUCUCCGCU